GAGAGUGUAGCUCAUUGGUAGAGCACUUGCUUGGCACACUUGCGGCCCUGGGUUCAAUCCCCAUGCACAAUCU
rnacentral:tRNA from 1 species